GAGGUAGCCAACACUGUAUUUAUUUAUAUAUAUAUAUAUAUAUAUAUAUAUUUUUUUUUUUUUUUUUUUCUUUUUUAAAUUGGGGUAGCCCCCAAAAUAUUGGGACAUAUGAAAAAAGACAACUCUGUUCCGCAGAGUAGCUGUUGACAUUAUAGUUGUGCAGGCACUUUGUUGACUGUAGAGAACCUCUGGCCAAUUGCACAUCCCUGUGACGGUGACUUUGCAUGUCAUCCAUAUCAACUUUCGAUGCCAGUUUCUGCACCUACCAUGGUGACCACGGGUAACGGGGAAUCAGGGUUCCAUUCUGUACAGAGACCCUGAGAAACGGCUACCACAUGCAAGUAAGGCAGCAGGUGUGCAAAUGACCCACUCCCGGGAAGGUAG